rnacentral:rRNA from 1 species
UACGGAGGGGGCCAGCGUUGUUCGGAAUUAUUGGGCGUAAAGAGCUCGUAGGCGGUUUGUUGCGUCGGCUGUGAAAUCCCGAGGCUCAACCUCGGGUCUGCAGUCGAUACGAGCAAACUAGAGUGUUGCAGGGGAGACUGGAAUUCCUGGUGUAGCGGUGAAAUGCGCAGAUAUCAGGAGGAACACCGGUGGCGAAGGCGGGUCUCUGGGCAACAACUGACGCUGAGGAGCGAAAGCGUGGGGAGCGAACAGG